rnacentral:rRNA from 1 species
ACUUUGGAGGUAUCAGAAGUGAGAAUGCAGGAAUAAGUAGCGAGAAAGGGGGCGAGAAUCCCCCUCGCCGGAAGACCAAGGUUUUCAGGGUAAAGCUUGUCUUCCCUGAGUAAGCCGGGACCUAAGCCCAGGCUAUAAUGCGUAGGCGAAUGGAAAACAGAUUAAUAUUUCUGUGCCAGUCAUUUAUUGUGAUGGAGGGACGCAGAAGGGUAUGUGCGCGGACGAUCGGUUGUGUCCGUAGAAGUAUGUAGGGUGACUUAGUAGGAAAAUCCAUUAAGUUAUAUCUGAGGUAUGAUAUACAGUCGUAAGAUGAAUGUGCAAAUCCCACGCUGCCAAGAAAAACUUCUAGCGUUAAUAUAUGACUGCCCGUACUGUAAACCGACACAGGUGGUCAGGAUGAGAAAUCUAAGGCGGACAGGCUAACUCUCGUUAAGGAACUCUGCAAAAUAACCUCGUAACUUCGGGAGAAGAGGAGCCCUUGUGUGUGAGUAUACAUGCGAUACAAAGCGCACGAGGGUCGCAGUGAAGAGGCUCAAGCAACUGUUUAACAAAAACACAGGUCUAUGCUAAGCUGUAAGGCGAUGUAUAUGGGCUGACACCUGCCCAGUGCUGGAAGGUUAAGAGGAGGAGUGAGAGCUCCGAAUUGAAGCCCCAGUGAACGGCGGCCGUAACUAUAACGGUCCUAAGGUAGCGAAAUUCCUUGUCGGGUAAGUUCCGACCUGCACGAAUGGUGUAAUGAUUUGAGCGCUGUCUUGACGGGAGGCCUGGUGAAAUUGUAUUACCGGUGAAGAUACCGGUUACCUACAGUAGGACGGAAAGACCCCAUGGAGCUUUACUGUAGCUUGGUAUUGGGUUUUGGCAUUGCAUGUAUAGGAUAGUUGGGAGACUAUGAUGGUAUGGCGCUAGCUGUAUCGGAGUCAUCGGUGGAAUACCAACCAUUCAAUGCUGAAAUUCUAAUCUGUGGUUUGUCGCCACGGAGACAGUGCUAGGUGGGCAGUUUGACUGGGGCGGUCGCCUCCGAAAGAGUAACGGAGGCGUUCAAAGGUUCUCUCAGGUUGGAUGGAAAUCAACCAUAGAGUGCAAUGGCAUAAGAGAGCUUGACUGCAAGACUGACGGGUCGAGCAGAUGCGAAAGCAGGACAUAGUGAUCCGGCGAUUCCGAAUGGAAGGGUCGUCGCUCAACGGAUAAAAGCUACCCUGGGGAUAACAGGCUGAUCCUACCCGAGAGUCCAUAUCGACGGUAGGGUUUGGCACCUCGAUGUCGGCUCAUCGCAUCCUGGGGCUGGAGAAGGUCCCAAGGGUUGGGCUGUUCGCCCAUUAAAGCGGUACGUGAGCUGGGUUCAGAACGUCGUGAGACAGUUCGGUCCCUAUCCACUGUAGGCGUUAGAAUAUUGAGAAGACCUGUCCUUAGUACGAGAGGACCGGGAUGGACAAACCUCUGAUGUACCAGUUGUCACGCCAGUGGCACAGCUGGGUAGUCACGUUUGGAAUAGAUAAUCGCUGAAAGCAUCUAAGCGAGAAACUAACUUCAAGAUAAGUAUUCUUUAAGAUACCUUUGAGACUAGGAGGUUGAUAGGUUGGGGGUGUAAGUACAGCAAUGUAUUUAGCUGACCAAUACUAAUUAUCAAAGUUUUAAUCUA